CGCAGUUGCGUGAGGGGAUUUUGCCUUCUGCUGUACUGUGGAGCAAAGCUUGUUCCUCUCCCGCUCAGCCGCGCAGGUUGAAUUGACCAAAGCAAUGGUUAUGGAGAAGCCUAGUCCCCUGCUGGUCGGGCGGGAAUUUGUGAGACAGUAUUACACGCUGCUGAACCAGGCCCCAGACAUGCUACACAGAUUUUAUGGAAAGAACUCUUCUUACGUCCAUGGGGGAUUGGAUUCAAAUGGAAAGCCAGCAGAUGCGGUCUAUGGACAGAAAGAGAUCCAUAGGAAAGUGAUGUCACAAAACUUUACCCAUUGCCACACUAAGAUUCGCCAUGUUGAUGCUCAUGCCACUCUGAAUGAUGGUGUAGUGGUCCAGGUGAUGGGGUUGCUCUCUAAUAACAACCAGGCUUUGAGGAGAUUCAUGCAGACAUUUGUCCUUGCUCCUGAGGGCUCUGUUGCAAAUAAGUUCUACGUUCACAAUGAUAUCUUCAGAUACCAAGAUGAGGUCUUUGGUGGCUUUGUCACUGAGCCUCAGGAGGAAUCUGAGGAAGAGGUAGAGGAACCUGAAGAAAGACAGCAGACACCUGAGGUGGUACCUGAUGAUUCUGGAACUUUCUAUGAUCAGACUGUCAGCAAUGACUUAGAAGAACAUUUAGAGGAACCUGUUGCUGAACCAGAGCCAGAUCCUGAACCAGAACCAGAGCAAGAACCUGUAUCUGAAAUCCAAGAGGAAAAGUCUGAGCCAGUAUUGGAAGAAACUGCCCCUGAGGAUGCUCAGAAGAGUUCUUCCCCAGCACCUACGGACAUAGCUCAGACAGUACAGGAAGACUUGAGGACAUUUUCUUGGGCAUCUGUGACCAGUAAGAACCUUCCACCCAGUGGAGCUGUUCCAGUUACUGGGAUACCACCUCAUGUUGUUAAAGUACCAGCUUCACAGCCUCGUCCGGAGUCUAAGCCUGAGUCUCAGAUUCCACCGCAGAGGCCUCAGAGGGAUCAAAGAGUGCGAGAACAACGAAUAAAUAUUCCUCCCCAGAGGGGACCUAGACCAAUCCGUGAGGCUGGUGAGCAAGGUGAUGUUGAACCCCGAAGAAUUGUGAGACACCCUGAUAGUCACCAACUUUUCAUUGGCAAUCUGCCACACGAAGUGGACAAAUCGGAGCUUAAAGAUUUUUUUCAAAGUUAUGGGAAUGUGGUGGAGCUGCGCAUUAACAGUGGUGGGAAAUUACCCAAUUUUGGUUUUGUUGUGUUUGAUGAUUCUGAGCCUGUUCAGAAGGUCCUUAGCAACCGGCCCAUCAUGCUCAGAGGUGAGGUCCGUCUGAAUGUGGAAGAGAAGAAGACUCGAGCUGCCCGGGAAGGGGACCGUCGAGAUAACCGCCUGCGGGGACCUGGAGGCCCUCGAGGUGGGCUGGGUGGUGGAAUGAGAGGCGCUCCCCGUGGAGGCAUGGUGCAGAAACCAGGAUUUGGAGUGGGAAGGGGAAUUGCUCCAAGGCAGUGAAUUGCUCUUCAGUUGAUCUUCACGCAGCAGUACAAAUCUUCUAGCUCCUGCAGAAUGGUGAAUUUCUUACACCAGCGUUUGGUAUCCUGGAGUUUGACCCUAGUCUAUUAUAAACUGCUUAAGUUUGUACAAUUUUACUUUUUGUGUUAAUUAUGUGUGCUCCCUUUCCCGCCCUUCCCUCUCCUCACCUUUUAGUCCUUCACUUCCAAUUUUGUGGAAUGAUAUUUUAGGAAAAACAGAUUUUUAAAGAAGAGAAAAAGACUGAAUUUCCUUGCUUUACUUUUGCAUAUACAGACUGGAUUUUUUUUAACAGCCGUUUCCCCAAAGGAAUGUGUCUUGCUUAUUACUGACAUUUGGUAUGUUUCAUUCAUUGGAAUAUUAUUUUCUAUGUGUUUCAAAAGCCUGUGAGAAACACAGGAUUUGAUAAACAUUUUGAAGGCAGGAAAAAUCCAAAUUGUUUCUUCUUUGAGAGUCAUGACUACCUUCUGGUGUGUAGAAAUUGCCAUUGGAAAAAUUGACAGUUUUGAUUCUUGCUGGUAUGGUUAAAAAAAUAAAAGGUGUUAGUAGA